rnacentral:rRNA from 1 species
AUACGUAGGUGGCAAGCGUUGUCCGGAUUUACUGGGUGUAAAGGGGGCGCAGGCGGGAAGCUAAGUUGGAUGUGAAAUACCGGGGCUCAACUCCGGAGCAGCAUCCAAAACUGGUUUUCUUGAGUGGAGUAGAGGCAAGCGGAAUUCCGAGUGUAGCGGUGAAAUGCGUAGAUAUUCGGAGGAACACCAGUGGCGAAGGCGGCUUGCUGGGCUCUAACUGACGCUGAGGCCCGAAAGCGUGGGGAGCAAACAGGAUUAGAUCCCCUGGUAGUCCACGCCGUAAACGAUGAUUACUAGGUGUGGGGGGUCUGACCCCUUCCGUGCCGCAGUUAACGCAAUAAGUAAUCCACCUGGGGAGUACGGCCGCAAGGCUGAAACUCAAAUGAAUUGACGGGG